CAUGAGUCCCAGUGGGAGUGGGCUGGGAUAAGUAGUUAUGUUAAUAAAACCUUUCCACAUUAGAAGUGUGAGUCAGAUUCGAUAUAUAAAUAUCAUUAAGAAGUUACACACAGAGGGAGUUUAAUUUUAGUCCAAAUAGAUCAUCUGUUUGCACCCCCUUCUGAAAUAGAGGCGGCAGAAGUUGUUAUGUCUUUCAAAUUACAUUGAUCACUACCGAGAGGAAAACAUCCUGGAGGAGGUCAUUUUCCUUGUGGACUGCUGUCCUGGAUACUGUCUGUCUCUACAAAGCUUGAGUUUCCAGAGCAACCGGGAAAGAGUGGAGAGUGUGCCUUUCUCCUCUUUGCUUUAACCCAUUCAGGAAAUCUCACAUCAGCUCUUCCCCCUGCACUGUGUAGCAGACCACGGGGGCUGUGGAUCUGGGCUGGUGACGGUGCACAAAGUCCUUCUAAGGAGGAGACAUGGAAUUCAGUCAUUCUUCAGUUUCUUGGGAGCUCCCUUUCUGCUCGGGCUCCCUUGUGAGGAGAUGUACCUGGUGGACUUCAGAAAUUGAUCUGCCCCCUUUAUGUGACCUCCACUCUGCUGCUGCUCCUUAAGGUCUUCUCAUGGAUGUUUGUAGAGAAGAUGAGUGUACAUUAUAGCCUCCAUUGGGCUUGUGUCUCAUGACUGGAAGAAGCCAGAUGGGAGCAUUAUAGGAGAGACAGCCCACCCCUCCCAGGAAGUGCCCCGUUUCACAGGGAGACAAUAGCCAGUUGUCUGGUAGACGCUAUAUAAAGCAGAGCUGAGCAGAGGGUCUCUUCAUU
rnacentral:lncRNA from 1 species